UGGGGAAUUUUGGACAAUGGGGGAAACCCUGAUCCAGCCAUCCCGCGUGUGCGAUGAAGGCCUUCGGGUUGUAAAGCACUUUUGGCAGGAAAGAAACGUCGCGGGUUAAUACCCCGCGGAACUGACGGUACCUGCAGAAUAAGCACCGGCUAACUACGUGCCAGCAGCCGCGGUAAUACGUAGGGUGCAAGCGUUAAUCGGAAUUACUGGGCGUAAAGCGUGCGCAGGCGGUUCGGAAAGAAAGAUGUGAAAUCCCAGAGCUUAACUUUGGAACUGCAUUUUUAACUACCGGGCUAGAGUGUGUCAGAGGGAGGUGGAAUUCCGCGUGUAGCAGUGAAAUGCGUAGAUAUGCGGAGGAACACCGAUGGCGAAGGCAGCCUCCUGGGAUAACACUGACGCUCAUGCACGAAAGCGUGGGGAGCAAACAGGAUUAAUACCCUGGUAGUCCACGCCCUAAACGAUGUCAACUAGCUGUUGGGGUCUUCGGACCUUGGUAGCGCAGCUAACGCGUGAAGUUGACCGCCUGGGGAGUACGGUCGCAAGAUUAAAAA
rnacentral:rRNA from 1 species